UCAGUGAACCUUAGAACAACAACAUCACAGGUGUACCACAUUUAUAUAAUGUUUCAGAACGCUGCUUUCGCUGUUAAACUAAAGUCACUGGAAAGCAAGCCUUCAACCUUUAGCCAAAAAAGCGUGACGGCUAAGCUAAUGCUCCUCUGGUGGUACGCAGGGAAGGAGACCAGAGGCUGUUUUUUGAAUGGAUGUCAAUGGAUGAGAGGCUUCACUAUGCUGAUUAAACAGCUUUUGUGGGGAAAUAGCUAAUCAUUUAAUUAAUCGACAGCCUGUUUGCUAAUCUUCAGCAUGUUUUACACUAAACAAUACUUUCGUUGGGAACUAUAUGUAGAUUUUAGCUUGAUAAAAAUGUAUUUUUUAAGAGAAGGCAGACUAGGGAAUGUUGCGACUGACGUCACUGCCAUUACACGAUAGGCUGAGAGGUGCUGCACGUGAUUAAGUUAGCCGUUACGCUUUCUCCAAUGGUAAGAGAUACAGACCCUCUUAUCUCCCUAUAAUUUACAAUCUCUGGUUAAACAUUACAAGUCUUCAGAUGAAAACAGUAGAAGAUGAAGCAGAAUCUCUUUUUACCACAGAUUGGACUAUUGUACUAAAGAUUGAAUCGUAUCACGUGACAGACAGUGAUCAGGAGCACAGGUGAGUCUCAAACCAAAAGUGUUUCAGAGACUUCUGGAUUCUGUUCCUGCAGGACAAGACCGUCUGUGCUGCUGAAGUCAUGCUGAGCAUCUGAUGGUCUUCAGCGACACAGAGAUACCAGAGCUGAGCUGUUUUCAGUGUCAGUUUAUCUGCAGUAAUGUCAGAGGAGCGAGGAAAGGACUCUCUCUCUAAGAUGAGUCUCUCAGAGGAACAGAGUGUAAGAUCAGACUCACAUGUGUCCAGCUCUGUGUCUGUGAAGAGUGACUGGUCAAAAGGUGAAGGACCAUAUUUCAGUGAGAGAAAACCAUCAACUAACAAAAGUGUAAGAUCAGGUUCACAUGUGUCCAGCUCUGUGUCUAUGAAGAGUGACCGGUCAAAAGAAGAAGGACCAUAUUUCAGUAAGAGAAAA